UAGAUUUUGGGUUGUGCUGCCCAAGGUGCUCCCUUCCCCAGAGGCACCAUGCGCUAUGGGAUGCAGACCUUGAGUCCUUGCUCAGCCAUUACAGUGCUGCAUGUAGGAAUAACCCAUUUCUUGUUCUGAACCACAGAAUCAUGGGGUUGGAAGGGACCUCUGGAGAUCUCCCAGUCCAAUCCUGCUGCUAAAGCAGGUCCCUACAGUAGGUCACAUAGGAAAGCGCCCAGUUGGAGCUUGAAUGUCACCAGAGAAGAAGACUCCAUCACCUUUCUGGGCAACCUGUUCCACUGCUGUCCCAUCUCACAGUAAAGAAGUCUGAGGACUGGCCUCAUCAGCAGGAAUCCUAUGGAAUGGAUCCCAUCAGUGAGCAGGGAGAAUGAUCUGGACCAGCAACAGCCAACAGAACCCCUCAGUGUUCAUCCUCCAGAAGUCAGUGCUGCUCCUGCCUCUUUCAACCUUACAAGUGUCUUGCAGAGAUGUUUUAGCAUUUGAAGAGCUGCGUGUUGUAGGAUUUCUGUUGUCCCUGCUCUUAUGAUCUCAUCCCAUCCCGUAGAUGAAUGGAAAAACUGAUUUGGCUAACGUCUUCUUUCCCAAAGUUUGAAGCCUAAGGGAUGGUGCUACUUGCAGAGGGACCCGCAGGGACACCGUGGGAUUACUGGUAGGAGGAUGGCGUGGGGCUGCCCACAGCACAUCUCCUCUGGCACUGCCUGGGCAGGGAACCCUGCAGUUCAGCACAACCCAGCUCCCACCACCACAUCAGCCUCUUGCAGUGGCUCACUCUGAGCUGUCGCUAAUGAGGAUGGUGCUCAUCAUGUGAUCGCGCCUUUGGGCAAGGGCGGUGGUGCUGCUAAUUGGCUUCUCUGGCUGCGGUUUCCUUAGGAAACAAGGUUAAAGCAACUCAGCUCAAAAAUGUACCUCCCGGAGGAAGGCACUUCAAUAUUUCUUCCCCUGUAAAUGGAAACAGCUCUAUGCCUGACGCCAGCUCCUUUCUAUCACCAGGUGGAACCAAAGGAUGUAGGUGCAUCUCUGCUAUGUUCUCUCUUGGUGUGUUGGUCCUGUGGCCCAGCCCUGGAUCAACACAUUUUCUAUCUAAUGUAUUUGACCAUCAGAGUUACGAAAAUUCUGAAAUGAAGUUCUCCCAUAUAAAUCAAAUAGAAAGGAAGUGGCUUUGUAUCAAACCACUGAAUUAAUAUAAUUAUCGUAUCGAUUAAAUCAUCAAACAAACCUGCAGCUCCUCUAUCAGAUUCACUGUGCCUGGUUCACGCUCCCUGAAGCACAGACCACUAUGCCAACCGUUCCCUUUGCAUUCCAGGCAGAGAAUGGAGGCUGCAGUGAUCUCUGGCCGCAUCUCACACACAGAGCAGGCCUCCA